GGGACUACGGCGCAGGCGGCAGCGCACCACGCCGGCGGUGUGGGGGUCAGGGGUUCGAGUCCCCUCAGCUCCACCA
rnacentral:tRNA from 1 species